GACAGAGGUGCCAAGCGUUAGGCGGAAUCACUGGGCUUAAAGCGUGUGUAGGCGGAUAUCUAAGUACCUUGUGAAAUCCCACGGCUCAACCGUGGAACUGCUUGGUAUACUGGGUGUCUUGAGCCAUCUAGGGGCUACCGGAACAAAUGGUGGAGCGGUGAAAUGCGUAGAUAUCAUCUGGAACGCCGAAGGUGAAAACAGCUCGCUGGGGCUGCGCUGACGCUGAGACACGAAAGCCAGGGGAGCGAACGGG
rnacentral:rRNA from 1 species